CUCCCUCCCUGCCUUUACCUCACUUCCAAUGCUGCCUUGAUCUGUCUGGGAAGAGGGAGGAAAGGGGCCCUUAGCCCCUGUACUCCGCCAUCUCAGAGCCAUGCGGUUAAUUCUUGACUUAGUUUAUUUUUGCAAAAACCUAGACCUCCCUCUCCUUUCCCCCGCCCCGCAUCCGCGAAGGCUUUUAAUAGGAGGGGAGUCAAAGUUCAAAACUGUCUUCCUCUCCCCUCCCCGAUUCCAGCUGUAAAUGCCACUUCCCGAGGGGAGGGGGGUGGGGAAGCCCUCCCCCUGCAUGCUUCUGGCUGGAGCACCUCCCUGGGAGUCGGGAGAUCAGGGUUACAGGCAACCUCAGUGGCUGCUUGGAGACGCCGCCAGGGCCUGGGGUGCGGGGCGGUGUGGCAGGCGCACACUGUAUGUACCUAUAAUAAACCCUUUUGGCUUUGAUGGU
rnacentral:lncRNA from 1 species